rnacentral:rRNA from 1 species
AGCCUGCCUGUCCUUAGGAUGUCCGGAUGCGGAACUAGGACCGUGCCCCCGUACCGCAAUCACUUGUCUUUUAAAUGAUGGCCUGGAUGACUGGCUGAACAAGGGCUUAACUGACUCCCCUUUCAAGUCAGUGAAAUUGAUUUACCCGUGCAGAAACGGGUAUAAUAAUACAAGACGAGAAGACCCUUUGGAGCUUAAGGUACAAAAAUCAACCACGUCAAGCAACUAAGUGAAGAGCAAAAACUUUAUGGAACAUGAUACUUUACCUUCGGUUGGGGCGACCACGGGGGAAAGAAGAUCCUCCGAGUGGACCGGGACAAACCUCCUAGAACUAAGAGAAACACCUCUAAGCCACAGAACAUCUGACCAAAUAUGAUCCGGCCAUAAAAACCGAUCAACGAACCAAGUUACCCUAGGGAUAA